rnacentral:rRNA from 1 species
GACGAACGCUGGCGGCGUGCUUAACACAUGCAAGUCGAACGCGCUUUGCUCCUUCGGGAGCAAAGUGAGUGGCGAACGGGUGAGUAACACGUGAGCAACCUGCCCUUGACUCUGGAAUAACAGCUGGAAACAGCUGCUAAUACCGGAUACGACCUCCGAUGGCAUCAUCUGGAGGUGGAAAGCUCCGACGGUCAAGGAUGGGCUCGCGGCCUAUCAGCUUGUUGGUGAGGUAACGGCUCACCAAGGCUUCGACGGGUAGCCGGCCUGAGAGGGCGACCGGCCACACUGGGACUGAGAUACGGGCCCAGACUCCUACGGGGAGGCAGCAGUGGGGAAUAUUGCACAAUGGGCGCAAGCCUGAUGCAGCAACGCCGCGUGCGGGAUGACGGCCU